GAUGAAGAACGUAGCGAAAUGCGAUACUUGGUGUGAAUUGCAGAAUCCCGUGAACCAUCGAGUCUUUGAACGCAAGUUGCGCCUCAAGCCAUUAGGUUGAGGGCACGUCUGCCUGGGCGUCACAUAUCGUUGCCUGAUGCCAGUUUCCUCGUGAUGGGUGACUGUGCAGGGCGAAUGAUGGCUUCCCGUGAGCAUUGUUGCCUCAUGGUUGAUUGAAAAUUGAGUCCUUGGUAGGGAGCGCCGUGAUAGAUGGUGGUUGAGUGACGAACGAGACCCAAUCAUGUGAGACCCCUACCGAAUUUGGCCUUCAUGACCCACAUGCGUCUUUGGAACGCUCAUGACGAGACCUCAGGUCAGGCGGGGCUACCCGCUGAGUUUAAGCAUAUCAAUAAGCGGAGGA
rnacentral:misc_RNA from 1 species